GUCUAUAGCCAUGCCACCUUGAACGCACCCGAUCUUCUCUAAUCUCGGAAGCUAAGCAGAGUCAGGCCUGGUUAGUACUUGGAUGGGAGACCACCCAAGAAUAUUGGGUGCUGUAGGCG
rnacentral:rRNA from 1 species